GGGGCCGACAUGGUUUUGACAGCAUGCACUUGUUGUGUAAGCACGCCGGGGGUUGCAAGUGUACCCCGUAAAAAUCAACUUAGCAAAACAAAUAACUGGCGAGAAUAACUACGCCAUGGCUGCCUAAUCUCAGAUUAGCAUAGUCAUUGUCGUUUCCUGCAACUCGGCCGGGCUGCGGUAGGAGUAACGGCAUCAUCAAAUGCCCGGUCGUUAACAGGCAAGCUGCGGGCUUGUUGACGUAUUAGCAGAUACGGUUUGUGUUGGCGGGCAACUUGGCCUGCACUUACCCGACAAUUAACAAGAUGAUAAGCGCGUAGAAAGCACAGUAAUUUCUUGUUUGGACGAGGGUUCGAAUCCCUCCGGCUCCACAU
rnacentral:tmRNA from 1 species